GCAAACUUGGUCAUUUAGAGGAAGUAAAAGUCGUAACAAGGUUUCCGUAGGUGAACCUGCGGAAGGAUCAUUAAAAUGAACCUGAACACUUAGCGGUCUUCUGCUGGCAACAGCGGAUGGCCGCCAAAGUGAAAACCAAACGUUGAACCUAUCUACUUUUUGCUUCGGCAGCACGCUCUUCGGGGCGGUAAGGCUGCCAGAGGCCCCAUUAAAACUAGUUGAUGAAAUGUCAUGCUGUCUGAUACUUUAUUAGUAUUUUGAGAAAUCAAAUAACUUGGUUAAAACUUUCAGCAACGGAUCUCUUGGUUCCCGCAUCGAUGAAGAACGCAGC
rnacentral:misc_RNA from 1 species